CUGCUCUUUCUCCGCACACACCUCUGUUAGACAAAGUCUCCCUUGGCUGGACUUCCAGGCCUUUCAGGACGGGGACUCAGCCUUAUUCAGAUCUCUGUCUCUUGUACGAGUCUAUUCACUCACCCAUCCGUCCAUCCAGCAAAUGUUACUGAGCAGCUAUUACAGGCCCUGGAGAUAUGACAACGAACAGAACAGGCAAAAUCCCUGCCCUCACAGAGCUAACGCUCCAGUAAGGACAGACACAGUAAGUGAAAGAUAGAGGAGCGGACACAGGAGUGUGGGUGUGUGUGCAGUUGUUCAGGGAAGACUUUCUUGAGAAAAUGACAUUGGGGCAAAGACUCGAAGGAGGUGAGGGAGUGAGCCAGGGUUACCAGCAGGAAGAGUAUUCCAGGCAGAGGGAACAGCAUAUACAACGGCUUGGAGGCAAGGGGAUGCCUGGCAUGCUAAGGACUAGCAAGGAGGCUAGCAAGGCCUGAGCAGGGAGCACUGUGCAGGUGGAGAUCCUGCAGCUCGGCACCUGCCAGAUCUGGGUCUGAACCUCGGUCCUGCUCUUCCCUAACUGGUGACCUGAAGGCUCUUGGUUAUACAGUCGGGACAAUACCACUACCUCACAGGGCCUUCUGAGGCUGAAACUCAACUACACCUUUAAUGACAUGUCCACGAAGGUUGAAGGAGACCGACAGGCCUGGUCCACCCACCUCCACUGGAGUAGAAGCUUCAUGAAGGCUGGAGAUUUUGUCUGUUUUGUCCACCACUAAAUCCCCAGACCCAGAAUAGUGCCGUCAACAAGGGCCUCAAAGACCUCACAAUUAAACAAACAUACUGUGAUGAUACAUGUCUUGAAAGGCAAACGCAGGGAGCUAAGCGAGCUCUUGGCGAGGAAGCCGAAUGCGGACCCGGAGAAUAGCAGGGAGGGCUUCCUGGAGGAACUCACAGCUGAGACCUGCGGACCAGUAGGAGUUAACCAAGGAGUGUUCCAGGCAGAGAGAACAGCAUGUGCGAAAGCCCAGAGGCUGGAGAGAGCAAAUUAUUUUGAAGGAUUUCAAGACGGCUAGAACAGAGCAUUAGGAGGGAUAAAGCGGCAGCGUGUGGAAGGACCUUAAACUCCAAGACAAGGACACGGCAGUAAAGGAUGAUGUGGCCGAACCCCCGGUUCCGCGGUGAGCAGACCCCAGAUGAGGAAACAGAGGCCCAGAGAGAUACAGCCCUUGGGCGAAGGUCACCCACGUUAGGGCGUAGCUGGGACUUUGAACCCAGUGCCCUGGGUGCGCAUCUGCCGGCAGCCCUGCCCCUCUCCCCGCCGAGGCCCUAAGAGGAGGACUUUCUCUCUCCUCUGACCGGCUCAGGUAGUUACCAUCUGCGCCACUCAUGCGGCCCUUCCUCACUACUGCCCUUGCAA
rnacentral:lncRNA from 1 species